AAAAUUCAAUGGUCACCUCCACCCCCACCAAACCUCCCAUCCUGUGGCUUCCAGAGAACUUCAUGUAGUUGGUUCCCUGGAGCGCCCUUUCGGCUUUAAAAUUUACAGGUUUCCAAAGUGAUUCCAUUUGUUCCUAGAUUUUCAGACCAUAUCUAUUCAGUGUGGCAGAUUCAUGGCUGCAGUGAUGAACGGUUAUUCUCCAUGAGGAGCGAAGGGAGAAGAUUUUCACAAAGCUGGAGCAUUUCCUCCACUGCCUGCACUGAGGAGUUGCCAAGGCUUGAAAAUCUCUUCUGUGUGCCAAACCAGAACUGGACAUUUCUGGUUUUGCAAUGCAGACGUUCUAGUACUGGAAUUAACAAAUGCUCCACACUGAGCUACUGCCAAAUUGCCAGGAGAGUUUUUCAGUGUUUGUUUGGGGGAUAGGGUAACAAUAGGAUGGCCUUUGGAGAUUGUGUCUGACACACCUGUGGGCAGAAGGUAGGCUUUAAGUAUCCACCAUCUCUUCCUUUUAGAGUUUGCCAUCUCCGUACCACCACCACCACCACACACAGCACCCUCAAGACUCCCUGUGAUCCUGGGAUGCACUCAACGAAGAGUGUGUGGCCCAGGAUUUGAUGGAAAUGCUACAAGAGAAGCAGGCUCUCCCCUUCUGAAAUGAUGAGUGAUAAUGACCAUACAGGUCAACUUUUCCACCACUUGGAGGGAGCCUGUCAAAGAACAAAGGCAACAGAGAAGAGAGCAGAGCUGAGGUUGGGUGAGAGGGAGAAAUUCCUGAGUGCUUGAAUCCCACAUGCCGGAAGCCGCACCACACUUGGACUUCUCAAUACAGGAGCCACUCUGCAGGCAUUUAUUGGCAGGCUACACCUAAGACUUUCUCUGCAGAAAAAUGUUCUAGAUGCACAGAUUUGGGGGCUUGAUUGACAACCUGACACCUCACUCUAAAUCCGCAUGGGUCUGUUGACCUCAGGCUCCAGUGUCCUACAGAUGUGCCUCUUUUCUCUUUGAAGCUGAGAAACCAAGUCAUGCUGAAGACCUGGAAAUCCCAGCAGGCUGCAAACCAGCUGCAACUACAAUGGGUCAGCCCUUUUGAGAUGCUGCUGACUACCCACUUAUCUGCCAAGUUAGCCAGUGUUAAGCCAUGGAUUCACCACGCUCAGAUAAAACCUGCCCCUCUGGGAUCCCUCCAGAAAAAAACAGGCAUGCUGUUGUGAACCCUAAGAUGGCCUUAAGUUAAUAUUCAAUGCCCAGCCAAAGACCCUAAAUAAGAAGUCAUAAAGGAAACAUGUGCUUUUCAGGUACCAAUCACCCUCCAGAUCUAAGAAUGGCUUCAGGCUGGGGCUGCAGUCACCUCUUUGCCCAGCUUCUCCCCUGCCCUAUUCUGCUUCACUUGCAUCCUUAAAGGUUCCACCCAAGAGCUCUUCUACAAGAAAGCACCUAUAAAGCCAGACACAUUGGCUUAUGCCUAUAAUCCUAGCACUUUGGGAGGCCAAGGUAGGAGGAUGGCUUGAGGCCAGGAGUUCAAGACCAGCCUGGGCAACUUAGUGAGGCCCCGUCUCUAUAAAAAAUAAAAAAAUUAACCAGGUGUGGUGGUGCACGUCUCUAGUCUCAGCUACUCAGGAGGCUGUGGCAGGAAGAUGGCUUGAGCCCAGGAGGUUGAGGCUGCAGUGAACUAAGAUCAUGCCACUGCACCCAUCUUGGGCAACAGAAUGAGAUCCUGUCUCUAAAAAAAUAAAAACAAUUUACAACAGUAAGCACCUGUACACAAGCCCCAUCUCCAGUCCUGUUUCUAGGGCUUCCAAUUUAACACACCUAGAGGCUGGGCAUAGUAGCUCAUGCCUGUAAUCCCAAUACUUUGGGAGGCUGAGGCAAGUGAAGCACUUGAGGUCAGGAGUUCGAGACCAGCCUGGCCAACAUGGCAAAACCCCAUCUCUACUAAAAAUGCAAACAUUAGCUGGGCAUGGUGGCACAUGCCUGUAAUCCCAGCUACUCGGGAGGCUGAGACAGGAGAAUCACUUGAACCCAGGAGGUGGAGGUUACAGUGAGCCAAGAUCACACCACUGUACCACAGCCUGAGCAACGAAAGAAGACUCUGUCUAAAAAAAGUAAAAAAUAAAAUAAAACACACCUGGAGCUUUCUA
rnacentral:lncRNA from 1 species